rnacentral:rRNA from 1 species
GCACAAAUUUGAAAUCCCCCCGGGGAGUUGUAAUUUGAAGAUUGCGUCUUGGAGGCGACCGUGUCUAUGUUCCUUGGAACAGGACGUCACAGAGGGUGAGAAUCCCGUGCGGCACGGCCCCCGGCUCCUUAUAAGGCGCUCUCGACGAGUCGAGUUGUUUGGGAAUGCAGCUCAAAGUGGGUGGUAAAUUCCAUCUAAAGCUAAAUACAGGCGAGAGACCGAUAGCGAACAAGUACAGUGAUGGAAAGAUGAAAAGCACUUUGAAAAGAGAGUGAAACAGCACGUGAAAUUGUUGAAAGGGAAGGGCAUGCCGUCAGAUUGUCAGUGUGGGUAAGAAGCGGGGUACAAAGACUGUGGAACGUGGCCCUCGGGUGUUAUAGCCGCAGUUCAUGCCCCGUCUCUUUCCGAGGCCUGCUUUGAGGACACCGACGUAAUGACGGUACGCCG